rnacentral:lncRNA from 1 species
UUUCCAGACACCCUGGCUCAGAGAGGUGUUAUUGCAACGUGAUGGGCCUGCAGCAGGCAUUUCCCAAAUGCUUUCAGUGAGGGAGUAUACUGAUGUUGAACCUCAUCAGCCUGCUGCAAGCACAUUGGUAUUCAUGCAGCGACUUCAGAGCCACACUCCUGAGCAGGGUGAGACUAAAACAAGCAGACACUUCUCCCAGAUUUGUUUCUGCAGCAGCCCAACUAGGGACCUCGACAGGACGAGGGAGGGGAAGAGCCUCUUGGUUUUCACCAGAUAAGCAAGCAAGCAAGACAAGAGGUCCUGGAGUUUCUUAG